rfam:Mesocricetus auratus contig118037, whole genome shotgun sequence.
GUUUUUCUUGCUCGCAGCACAUAUACUAAAAUUGGAACAACACAGAGUAAAUUAGCAUGGUCCCUAUGCAAGGAUGACACACAAAUUCGUGAAGUGUUCUAUAUUUUU